UGGGGGAUAUUGCACAAUGGGGGGAACCCUGAUGCAGCGACGCCGCGUGAGUGAAGAAGUAUUUCGGUAUGUAAAGCUCUAUCAGCAGGGACGAAAAUGACGGUACCUGAGUAAGAAGCCCCGGCUAACUACGUGCCAGCAGCCGCGGUAAUACGUAGGGGGCAAGCGUUAUCCGGAUUUACUGGGUGUAAAGGGAGCGUAGACGGCGAAGCAAGUCUGGAGUGAAAGCCCGGGGCCCAACCCCGGGACUGCUCUGGAAACUGCGGCGCUGGAGUGCAGGAGGGGUAAGCGGAAUUCCUGGUGUAGCGGUGAAAUGCGUAGAUAUCAGGAGGAACACCGGUGGCGAAGGCGGCUUACUGGACUGCAACUGACGUUGAGGCUCGAAGGCGUGGGGAGCAAACAGG
rnacentral:rRNA from 1 species